UGAUGGAUUCCUGUCUCACAUUUAGGUCCUCCAACGAUUUGGAGUCAAUGUUUGUGUAUGGUGUGAGGAAAUGGUCCAGUUUACCUAGCACCAUUAGUCCAACUAAUGCCACUUCUACUUUAGCAAUCCCUGAGUGUAGCUCUGAAGAAACAAAAACAGCUGUGGGACAGGAAUGAAAUUUGGACUUAAACCUGAGCUCAAACCUCAGUUUGUGUGAAUUUGGUUAAGAAGACUCUUCAUGGACCUCUGAAAUUAUCUGUCUCUUCAUUAAUGAACUGCUUAAGAGAGAACAUUUCCCUUAUCUGGACAUUUCAUAUAAAUGGAAUCAUAUAAUUUGUUACUUUUACAUUAAGAAGAUUUUUCUAUGGCCCAAAGUACUUUUUUAUAGGACUCUCAGAAUAAAAUUCACCUAACGUCAACCAAAGAUGAAAAUCUGAGAUGUUUAUCAGAAAUUGUCAUCAUCCAUAGAUUGAAUGAAAAGGAAAAAAUUUGAUUUCUCAGAGAUACUAAAAGAACCUUCAAACUUCACAUUCUUAUUGCCAUUAAAAACACACGCAGAAUUACAGAAUCAUUAAGGUUGCAUAAUAGAGGGCAGUCCAUUAGAUGAAUCAGUUCCAGGAGUUGGCAUUGGCAAACAGGAACAGCUCUCCCUUUCCUCGGGGACUGUGAAGCCCAGCCAGGACUUCCAGUCCAUCUAAGUCUACAAAAUACAUGUUAACAGGUCAUGAGUGGGGUACUACCUCUAUAUACAUUUGAAGAAAUGAAAGGAAAUGAACAAUGAGGUUUUACUACGUACCAGACUCUGCUAAAUACAGAAAUAAUAAACAUGACCUCAUUUGAUAUU